rnacentral:rRNA from 1 species
AUUGAACGCUGGCGGCAGGCCUAACACAUGCAAGUCGAGCGGAGCGGCGGACGGGUGAGUAAUGCCUAGGAAUCUGCCUGGUAGUGGGGGAUAACGUCCGGAAACGGGCGCUAUUACCGCAUCCUAUCAGAUGAGCCUAGGUCGGAUUAGCUAGUUGGUGGGGUAAAGGCCUACCAAGGCGACGAUCCGUAACUGGUCUGAGAGGAUGAUCAGUCACACGGGAACUGAGACACGGCCCAGACUCCUACGGGAGGCAGCAGUGGGGAAUAUUGGGCAAUGGGCGAAAGCCUGAUCCAGCCAUGCCGCGUGAGUGAAGAAGGGCUUCGGGUUGUAAAGUACUUUAAGUUGGGAGGCGUUACCAACAGAAUAAGCACCGGCUAACUCCGUGCCAGCAGCCGCGGUAAUUC